CCGAUAUAAAUGAAGAUAAAAUUGACAUUCUUUUUGAAGUGUCUCCAGGCUUAAGCUAUAACUUUCCUUGUCUGCGUUCCAGACUCAGUUGUGAGAAGGCUGUUUAUACUGCUCUUUGAAAAAUCAACUAAGGUGCACCAGCUGAAAUAUCCUUGCUUUGCCUGCCAAUAUGAAAGUUAUUUUUAGAAUGAUGACUAUGCUAGUUUGCACCGCUCUAAUCUAGGCUGAAAAUUGGAGGAUCUAGUUGUGUCUGGUACUCACAAAAGGAAAAGUACACACUACGAAUAAGGCAUCAGUAUUUACUUCAAAGAUCAACAUUAGGUGGAAUUAAUAAGUAAUUUAUUUGUUAAUAAUGGCAUAAUUAGUUUACCCAUCAAAUUUCAAUUACCAAAUGGCAGGCAACAGUCCCUUUCCCUCCUUUCCGGAGCUACUGAUAUCGUUAAUAUGCUAAUUUUCAGCAAUUCAGAAAUUAUAGAUUGUUCUGUAACUAUAACUCUAGUCUCAGCUACAGCCUGAAAAAGCAGCAUCCAAAAGAGAAAUUCUUAGCUGGAAAAGACCCCUGGGGAUCAGAUCUGGCAAAGGUCUUAUUCUAUUUUAAGCUUGCUUUUAUUUGGGGAUUGUUCUGAAAUAGGAAGUUAUUUGUUUCAAAGCUCGGUUUUAUGGAAGUGUUGCUUCUAUCCAUUCUUAUCCUUGAGCCGUCGUCUGACUGCACAAUCGCACUUCGUCAACUCACGCGUGUUUAGUUCUUAGAUUGACCCCUCCAUCAAAUAAGAUGGUAUUAGAAAGGUGGGUUUUGUUUUGUUUUUAAUAAGGUAAAAACAAAACAGACUGUCUUAAAAGGAAAAAGUAAAAAAUGUCUGUCCGAUUACACUGGAAUGGCUUCGCUGUACACCCCUGUGUAGAUUUCUCAGCUACACACCCAACCUUUGCAGCUCCUGCCAGUCUUCUCAAUAUAGGGACGAGUCAGCAGGGUGUAGGAAAGGAAUAAGCGGGUGGGAAAAUUUGUCGGUCGGCCACGUUCAUUUUAUUCCAGUGCCAUGAUAAAAAACAGGAUGCCCCUUGGUGUCGACGCCUUUUCCCUCCCGCAGCGGGCCUCGAACCUUGGAGGACGCGGGGCCUGACUGGGCUGGAAAUCAGCGCUGAGUCUGCCCUGGGGCGUAGGCUAGAAGU
rnacentral:lncRNA from 1 species